rnacentral:rRNA from 1 species
CUCCUACGGGAGUCAGCAGUGAGGNAUNUUGGUCAAUGGGCGGAANCNUGAACCANCCACGCCGCGUGCGGGAAGGAGGCCCUAUGGNCUGUGAACCGCUUUUGCCUGGGGGCAAUAAGGGCGUCGCGCACGUCCGAUGAGAGUNCCAGGNGAAUAACCAUCGGNUAACUCCGUGCCAGCANCCGCGGUAAUACGGGGGAUNCGAGCGUUAUCCGNAUUCAUUGGGUUUAAAGGGUGCGUAGACUGUGCGUCAAGUCGGGGGUGAAAUUCCGGUGCUCAACACCGGGGCUGCCCUUGAUACUGUCGCGNUGGAGUGCGGAUGCCGCCGGAGGAAUGAGUGGUGUAGCGGUGAAAUNCUUAGAUAUCACUCAGAACNCCGAUUGCGAAGGCAUCUGGNGAAUCCGUAACUGACNCUGAGGCACGAAAGCGUGGGGAUAGAACAGGAUUAGAUCCCCAUGGUAUUCCACGCCUGUAUAACGAUGAUGGCUAACCGACCGGCUGUUCGGGUUGAUNGAGACCUGAGCGGCCA